rnacentral:rRNA from 1 species
CAUGCAAGUCGAGGGAAAACGACAUCGAAAGCUUGCUUUUGAUGGGCGUCGACCGGCGCACGGGUGAGUAACGCGUAUCCAACCUGCCCACCACUUGGGGAUAACCUUGCGAAAGUAAGACUAAUACCCAAUGACGUCUCUAGAAGACAUCUGAAAGAGAUUAAAGAUUUAUCGGUGAUGGAUGGGGAUGCGUCUGAUUAGCUUGUUGGCGGGGUAACGGCCCACCAAGGCUACGAUCAGUAGGGGUUCUGAGAGGAAGGUCCCCCACAUUGGAACUGAGACACGGUCCAAACUCCUACGGGAGGCAGCAGUGAGGAAUAUUGGUCAAUGGACGAGAGUCUGAACCAGCCAAGUAGCGUGCAGGAUGACGGCCCUAUGGGUUGUAAACUGCUUUUAUAAGGGAAUAAAGUGAGUCUCGUGAGACUUUUUGCAUGUACCUUAUGAAUAAGGACCGGCUAAUUCCGUGCCAGCAGCCGCGGUAAUACGGAAGGUCCGGGCGUUAUCCGGAUUUAUUGGGUUUAAAGGGAGCGUAGGCCGGAGAUUAAGCGUGUUGUGAAAUGUAGAUGCUCAACAUCUGCACUGCAGCGCGAACUGGUUUCCUUGAGUACGCACAAAGUGGGCGGAAUUCGUGGUGUAGCGGUGAAAUGCUUAGAUAUCACGAAGAACUCCGAUUGCGAAGGCAGCUCACUGGAGCGCAACUGACGCUGAAGCUCGAAAGUGCGGGUAUCGAACAGGAUUAGAUACCCUGGUAGUCCGCACGGUAAACGAUGGAUGCCCGCUGUUGGUCUGAAUAGGUCAGCGGCCAAGCGAAAGCAUUAAGCAUCCCACCUGGGGAGUACGCCGGCAACGGUGAAACUCAAAGGAAUUGACGGGGG